rnacentral:lncRNA from 1 species
CCUGGGCCGAUACCGGAGCAAGAUGUACUGCAGCCAGAUCCAGGACUCAAUUGAGAGCACACACCAAGCAGAACAAAACAGUGGCAAUUGAUGACAAAUGGACUGAGCUGCCCCCACGUCCCCCUCCCCACUCCCUGUUACCAUGGAGACACAAGCCAGCCGAAGCCAAGAGAUCAGGAAAUAUCCAUAAAGGACAGUCUGGUGGACACAGGUGUUCAGGGAAUCAAUCGGAGCCAACAAGAUCCUUCAAUCUGUCAAGGGUUGGAGGGGGAACGUGGUGAGACGGGGAAUUGAGGAUUAAGUAAAACAGGUGGGUUUUGUCCUUGGGACUAGAAGUUUCUUUUCUCUCCGUGGGGAGUUAUGUCAUUUUGACACAUGUUGACACCACACACCAAAGCUCUAUUUUCUUUUCAAUUUUCUUUUCAUCUUCUCUCUUCUACUUCACCUACAAAUGUGGAUCACCUCUAAGACGGGCAGCCGGAUAUCUGCUCAAGAAGCCAUGAAAUGAGGCAGAAUCUUUGGAAGACUUGCUCACUGGGUCUAGUGGACAUGAUUUCCUCCAAACAACUGUCAUCAAACAUAGACAUGGGAGGGGGGAGGAAAGAAACUUCUCAGUUACUCCUACCUUUUUUAAUGCAAAUAAGAGGUUCCUGCUUAGGUGCUUUGAAACUUCUUCAUUUGAAUUGUUCAAAUUCUAGGUACCUACUAUAAUUCUUCUAACGAGCUCCCUCCACACUCACCUCUGAAGGACAGAAUCAGCCCGUUGCUCUAAGCUUUCAAUCAUUGCUUUGUCAUCACAGUAGUCGUAAAGGUCAAGACCAGGAAUUUUAUAGUCGAUUGCCAAAAUCUAGUAGGGUUCAUUGCUUGUAGAAGGCACUCAAAACAUGCUGAUUGAUUGAAUACUGAAAAUGUUUAAAGUCUUACUGUAGUAGAAAUUACAGCUGAAUCCCCAAUAAUUCUUCUUUCCUCCACUGUGCAGUAGCCAUGGGAUUUAAAUGGAGAUUGACCCCACCAGCUGCAAGGUUGGACCAAUCAGAGAUUAGAUUCCAGUCCUCCUGCCACAAUGAUUGGUUCAGGUAAAUGAAGUCUAUGCCAAUCAACAAAUGGCCUUUUCCCAUCUGAGUCUUGAGGGAAAGUUUGCUAGGAUUUCUGAGAGAGUAAGUUCUCAACUUUGUCCGAAAGAGCCACCAAAGCCAACCUCACUCCUGGACAGUGUGGCUUGACGAUAACUACCCUAGAGCCUCGGACACUUUGCCAUCCUAAAGGAAACUGGCCUGAAUGCAAAUAGGGAAAAAAGUUAAAAUAAAACCAGGACCUUGAUGACUUAAUGGAUCUGUUGGUUCAAACCAACCUUGAAUUCUGUUCUUCCUUGUUCUUUCAAUAGAGUAAGCCAAUAAAUCCCCUCUGUUGUUGAAGCCAGUUUGAGUUGGGCUGUCUAUUUAUUGACUUAUUUGUUUAGUUUUCAAAAUAGUUUUAAUAAGUUAUUUAAAAUUUUUCUUAAAGAAUAAAUAGUCCUAAGCAAUAUACUUACCAAAACUGUCACCUGUUUGACAAUUUUGCUCUUAGUGACCAACAAAAGUAAGUUUUGGACAUCUGGAGACUGAGAUAGCAAAUGACAUCUUCUCUUUGGAGAGGUGCAAGCUGGGAAAUCCACCAAGCCGUCUCACCAGGCUGAUACUGUCCAAAGUAUGAAAGCUCAAUCAACUCGAGAAUUCUUAUUAAAGGGCAGGGACAGGUCAGAGAAGAUGGUGAACACGUCGCAGUGCACUGGAGGUACUCUGAAAGCAGAUCCGUCUUUAUUUGUAGGCAAAGCUAAUAUUAAAGGUAAUUUGCAUUCUCUGAGCAUAAAAUGUGGACACUGUGAAGAACAGAUGUUGAGAGGGCUCGAGCAUUCCAGAAACUGAUAAGAAAUUUAAAUUUGCAAUGAAUAAUAUAAAAUGUAGAUAAUCCCAAUGUCAGUUCUGAGAAGGACUUUUAGGCAUUCUAUUGGAAUUAAACUGUUUGUCAUUUAGCUGAAAAGAACGUGUUAACCAAUCAUUGGUCUGCAAGAAGACCCCUCAGCACCUCUGACCAGUUACACAAGGGAAGGGACUGAGGAGUUAAUGCCAAAUAUUCUAUGUGGAGAUUUAGUGAUUUACUGGCUGUAUUCUGCUAAUCCAGGGAUGAAGCUGAUCUUUGUUCUUUGACUCUUUAGAAGUGCAGAGUUAAAAAAUAGGAGAUGCUCAAGAAGUAACGGAUAGUGGGAUGGAUGGAUGGCUGAAUGGAUGGACAGAUGACAGGUGGAGCUUCUACUGGAAAGAACACUAAUCCACACCAUCCCCUCUAGCCUGAAACAUCCUUUCCAAAGAUGAACGUACUUAGCCCAGAGAGAUGACACAACUUGCCUGAAGUCAACAGUGACAUGCAACUGUAGCACAACCUGCCUGGCUCCAGACCAGCUGCUCUUAGGAUUUUGCUUGGUGGCCUUCUCGGCAGAUUUCCUGAACUGCUUGGCUCUGUUUUUAGAGCAGAAGCAGCCCCAGAAUGGGAGUACGUAUUGAAGAUCCCUGUUCCUCCGCCUCCAGUCACUUCUGCCAAGGUGGAAAAAAAUCAGCCCAGGCACCUGUG